rnacentral:lncRNA from 1 species
CUACCUUGCAGAAUUAGUGUGAGGUUACCUGUGAUGAAGCCAGUGAAAGAGCUUGUUUGCCUGGAGCUUAAGAAAUGCUCAAGCAAUUGUUCAUUUUAGAGUUCCUGUAUCAGGGGAGCCUGGACUCUGCCUGUAGACACCGGGAGAGAAUAGCAGUAAGGUGCCAAUUAUGCUGAGUGAGGUGUGUCUUGAGAAAGAGCCUCUGGUUGCCUGGCAAUUAAAGACCAGAUCGGUUUCCAGGAGGAUGGUCAUUCCGUGGAGAACACAGCGUUUCUUGCUGGACUUUUGUCUACCUGGGGAAAGUCUUCCACACUGUGUCUGGCGCCAUAAAAACUUUGCAGAGGGAUGCGUGAAAGGAGAGAUGGAUGGAUGGAUGUCGGGAAGUGACCUGAGAUCAUCCUGUCCCACCUGAUGUGCCCAAGGUGAUGCCACUUGGCAGAGCUGGCCUGAGAAACCGCAGUGCUGGGCUUCAGGUCCUGUGGCUUUGCUGGUGGAGGUCAUCGAGAGGACAUGACAGCCGGUUGACCUUCAACCUGAACCAAGGCAACUGGAGGCCCCUGCCCCCCUCCCCUUGGAAUGUCUUUGAAUUGUCUGCUCUGCCCACCGUUCCACAGUGGCAGCUGCUUUUGAGGAUGCAGCCUUGAGAGAGUAUGAUGUAUGCGACUGAACCCGUUCAGGCCUCUCUGUCAACUUUUGGAGACUGUGCUGGGUGGAAGCAGAGGUCCACCCAUCUUGAAGCAGGAGACAAGCCCCUCUGGGAGCUCUCUACUUACACGGCCUGUCAUCUACCCGUCCGGAGUGGCUGCCUCUUUCUUCCUUCUUUCCCUGCCCUCCAGGCACGAGGGCCAGUUUGAGAACCAACAGGCUUUGCCACUGUAGCUCAGCCUGACAUCUUUUAGCAAAAGACGGAACACAGCAAGUUUGUGUACAAUGCCAUCUCUGAAUAUGGCAAAUACCAACAGAAAGGGGUGAGUAUGUGGGUACUUUUCCCCUCCUAGUUAAUAAUUUAUGGCCCCAAACAACAUUCUGUUCUUACACGUAAUGCAAAAAUAGAGGCUGACUUUGAUAAUUAACCUAUUGCUUUUAGCUAUGGUCGUGCAAAAAUAUCAGAAGGAAAAACAUGCUGGGAUCUUCAGUCUUCUCUCCUUGUUUGCCUUCCUCUCAUUGAAACCUGGGUGUCAAAUUAUCUGCCUUUUCUUUCUGUCAAAAAACAAAACAUUUGCCCGGUUAAUCUCUGCCCUGAAUUUUGUUGUUCUGAGCUUAAAUCCAUGUCAUUAUGCAUCAUUCACAUCCUGAAAAUGCAAUAGAAGCGGAGGCUAAACUGUAUUUCAGCCUCCAUUGAUCAGCACAAUGGUUCUAAGUGUAUUGGCUAUGAAAUAAUGUACUAAUUUUGCUUACUCUUCCUUUUUGCC